GCGAUGGAGCAACGCUGUCUUUUGCUUCCCCACUCACAGCGGCGGCGACGGGACACCGACGCCUCCACCUUCCCUAGCCUCCUCGGCAAUGGCGAUGAAUAAGACAAAAAAAGGUUAAAAAAUCAUCUCCUCCUCUUUACCCCUCUAUCCUCUCGACUUUAACCAGAUUCAUGCUUGUAUGUUAUCAGAGGAUGCCUCUAGAGAUUCCUCCUGCGACAUGCAAGCCCCGAUCUACAGAUCUAUGGUGUGAUUGAUGUUUAUUCCUCUCUCUAACUUUUGCUUUCUCUUUUUUUUGUUUUAUCUCCUUUUUGGGGUUCAUGAUCGAUGGAGAGAAAAGAGGAUGAGACUUCGCCUCUGACGACGUGGCCGGCGACCGGAGAUGAGACGAAGAGAGAGGGGGAAAGCCAGGUAAAAAACAUUGUUUUAUUUUUUGAUUAAUCCCUAUUUAGCAUAUAAUGAAACUAAUAAAUUUUUUUGAUUCUCUCCAGGUCUACAGCAAUGGGUAGAUCCGAUUUGCUCGAGGAAAUCGGAAGAAAAAGGAAAAAUUCCCUUUGGAAAGAUAAACUAACACAUUGAACUGCUCUAAUUUUGUUGGGUAAGAAGAGAAGAUUUCGUCAUUUGAUUAAGUUGCUAGAAGUACAUGAAAACUUGACUGUUUUGUCUAUUGAAAUUAAACCGAUAAUCUAAAAGCUUAUGAAAAUGACUUUCUGUUUGAAAAGUUGAACCACUUUACCACUUUUAAUAAAAUUCCAGGACCAGCAUUUAAUAAAAAACCCCAUGUUUUAACUCAAUUUUUAUGAGUAAUUUUAUAGUUCUUGAGUUCCUGGUGCAAAUGGUGCAAAAAGAGUGAUUGAAGGUCACUUAGUGUUUUGUUAACGUAUUUUUCAACAACUUUUGUUUGUUUUACUUAUUUUACUUAUUAGUUUACUGUUUGCUAGGAUGAACUAUUUAUCCACUUGGUUGUAAUGAAUAUUAGAUUUAAAGGUAGCUUAGAUGGUGAUAUGCAACAUAGCAUAACAAGCACAUCAAUAUGUGUGAGCCUAGAGUAUGAAUGAUAUGUGAAUGAUCGAGAAUAGAGAUUUUUUUAAAUGAUAUACCUUUAAUAAGAAGCUUUUUCCUUUGUCGGUUCCUUCCCUGUUUCCUAACUUCUGGGACGUCUAGACUUCCUUCUUUGGCGGCUCCUUCGUGGGUAACGACAAAAGGAAGAGAUUUAUAAUUUUAUUUUUGGUGUUUUGUAGUAUUUAUUUUUGGGACUUUGUGGAUUGAGAAUGUUUAUAUUUUUUUGAGAUUUUGAGG
rnacentral:lncRNA from 1 species